rnacentral:rRNA from 1 species
AUGAACGCUGGCGGCUUGCCUAAUACAUGCAAGUCGAGCGAACAGACGAGGAGCUUGCUCCUCUAACGUUAGCGGCGGACGGGUGAGUAACACGUGGAUAACCUACCUAUAAGACUGGGAUAACUUCGGGAAACCGGAGCUAAUACCGGAUAAUAUAUUGAACCGCAUGGUUCAAUAGUGAAAGACGGUUUUGCUGUCACUUAUAGAUGGAUCCGCGCCGCAUUAGCUAGUUGGUAAGGUAACAGCUUACCAAGGCAACGAUGCGUAGCCGACCUGAGAGGGUGAUCGGCCACACUGGAACUGAGACACGGUCCAGACUCCUACGGGAGGCAGCAGUAGGGAAUCUUCCGCAAUGGGCGAAAGCCUGACGGAGCAACGCCGCGUGAGUGAUGAAGGUCUUCGGAUCGUAAAACUCUGUUAUUAGGGAAGAACAAAUGUGUAAGUAACUAUGCACGUCUUGACGGUACCUAAUCAGAAAGCCACGGCUAACUACGUG